UUGGUUUAUAAUCAAAUAAUGAUGUUUUUCAUUAUUCACGUUUUCCCCUAAACAUACCCCUAAUGGCGACGACACCGGGCAUAUGAUUCUAGCUGCCGAUCUUCAUCUUCCUCUGAUCUACCUUUUCAUUUGCUCCUGUCAUUAACAUAUAACAUCUUUGCUUUGUAUUAAUUAUCUCCACUUGAUUUCAUGUUAAUAAUUGUUGUGUAUGUUUGUUAGGGUUUUUCCAAUCCUAUUCUCUAUUUUGCCCAAAUCAAGAUAAGGGUUCUUUUAUUUUCGAUCAACGUUUAUUAUAUAAUGCAUCUAUCAAAGUAGCAAAUAUGUUAUUUUUUGGUUUCAAGUUCUCGGUUUCGCUUUAAUAAGGCCGAAUAACCGACCUGGAAAACCCGAGCCCGGACUGAAAUGCUUGCAGAUAAGAUUCAUGGGAAAAUAAGUGAAGGUGACUUGCUUUAUCAACUAGGUGAUUCAUGCACCAACAGCACUGUUGCAUCUGCUGCAAGCUAACAGGAGAAGGCUCUACACAAAGCCUAGACCAAAACCCAAAAAAGCACUAGAAAUGUUGCUGUUGCAAAGAUCUGGAAGCUUUUAGGCGAGCGGUUGCUACUCAAAGACACCUCGAAUGAUUCUGUUGUCUACAUAAAAGAUCAAAGAUAUCAUGUUAAGGUGAGCCGAAUCAGUGAUUUGUUAAGGCAACUUACUAACAGUUGAAAAGCAAUUAUACUAAUAUGAGAAGUAAGAUAUCAGUUAAUGUUUUCUACAUGUCAGACUGUAUUACGUUAAUAUGUUAUUUUAUUUAAUUAUAAUCUAAAGCUU
rnacentral:lncRNA from 1 species